UGCUGGGCCCAUGUUGACUCCACAAGGUGUUGAAAGCGUUCCACAGGGAUGCUGGGCCCAUGUUGACUCCACAAGGUGUUGAAAGCGUUCCACAGGGAUGCUGGGCCCAUGUUGACUCCACAAGGUGUUGAAAGCGUUCCACAGGGAUGCUGGGCCCAUGUUGACUCCACAAGGUGUUGAAAGCGUUCCACAGGGAUGCUGGGCCCAUGUUGACUCUACAAGGUGUUGAAAGCGUCCCACAGGGAUGCUGGGCCCAUGUUGACUCUACAAGGUGUCGAAAGCGUUCCCACAGGGAUGCUGGGCCCAUGUUGACUCCACAAGGUGUUGAAAGCGUUCCACAGGGAUGCUGGGCCCAUGUUGACUCCACAAGGUGUUGAAAGCGUUCCACAGGGAUGCUGGGCCCAUGUUGACUCCACAAGGUGUUGAAAGCGUUCCACAGGGAUGCUGGGCCCAUGUUGACUCUACAAGGUGUUGAAAGCGUUCCACAGGGAUGCUGGGCCCAUGUUGACUCCACAAGGUGUCGGAAGCGUUCCCACAGGGAUGCUGGGCCCAUGUUGACUCUACAAGGUGUUGAAAGCGUCCCACAGGGA